rnacentral:misc_RNA from 1 species
GUGAAUCAUCGAAUCUUUGAACGCAAAUUGCACUCUCCGGUUUUCCGGGAGAGUAUGCCUGUUUGAGGGUCAGCCUAAAAAAAAUCGACAUUGUUGCUGUUAUUUAAUGGUGACUUUCGUCGGAGAUUGGGUUAUCUUAAACCUUUUUUUUUUUUUUUGCGGCGACUAAUAUUUUUUCUUGAUGAUUUCAUG